CUCUCCCUACCUCUUCCUCCAAACCCUCUCCCACACUAAUCUACCUUCUCUCUAUAAUCAGAAACCUCCCCUCCUCUCUUAACCUGCCCUCUGUCUAUGAACAGGAAUGUCCCCUCUCUCACGUUAAUUCUGUAUUAAACAGGAAUCUCCCUCCUCUUCUUACUCGAGGGUCUAUCCUUGCCCCCGCCGACAGUGAGAUUGCAGCCUUGUGUUAUUUGUAGGCGGUUUUGGAGCAGCAGGACCUGGGCAGAGAGAGUGUGUGAGGCACUCGGUGCCCGCACUUACAUGCCGCUGUCUUCCUGCCCUGAUGCGAUUUCAUCCCAGUGGCUUGCCCGAGCCUCGCUGUCUCUACAAACCUGUAACAAAUCUCCUCAUCUCCUCCCAGCCCCACGCAUGCUUUUGUAGCAGAGGGCCCCGCCUCCUGGUUACGUCAACAGGGGGUUCCCCAGCCCCGCCCCCAUCCGGUGACGUAGCGGCAGGAUUCCCCCUUCUGCUGCCGGGGGUCUCCACUCCACAGCUGAUAUUGCACAGGAGACGGUACACAUGGGGCAACACCCCUCCCGACUGGACAGCUCUUCUCUCUCUGCAGCAAAGUGAAGGCCGGCAACUCCUUACAAUCACAGGGAGCGAGGAAAUGUGUUUCCACUUGAGAACAUGCGCCGCUAGAUAUAAAAAUAAACUCAGCGGGGAGUUCAGGAGAACCUCCUUUACCCAGAAGAGGGCGGCGGGGAUGUGGAAUGCAUAGAUAAAAAAAAGAACAAACUACAUGAGCGGGAAAACAGGGACGAGAAGGACACUCUGAGAUGUGAGACAUCUGGAAUAGAAAGGAUGCAAACAUGGCUGGCAAGGUUGCCCAGAGGACAGUUAAGAGUCAACCGCAUUGCUGUGAGUCUGGAGUUACAUGUAGGCCAGACCAGUGGGCGGCAGAGAGACGUCACUGAGGAUGCAUUCUGGGAGCCAUUGGACUGUUCCGUAUCACCUGUUCCAUAUCACCUGUCCUUCAUGGAGAAAUUUGCAAAGAAAAGCACCUUUGACUACAGGUCCAUCAGGAAGUGGUCAGCGCGUAGCAUCCUCGAGACCC